UGACCGCUGGCGGCGUGCCUAAUACAUGCAAGUCGAACGCUUCACUUCGGUGAAGAGUGGCGAACGGGUGAGUAAUACAUAAGUAACCUGGCAUCUACAGGGGGAUAACUGAUGGAAACGUCAGCUAAGACCGCAUAGGUGUAGAGAUCGCAUGAACUCUAUAUGAAAAGUGCUACGGGACUGGUAGAUGAUGGACUUAUGGCGCAUUAGCUUGUUGGUAGGGUAACGGCCUACCAAGGCGACGAUGCGUAGCCGACCUGAGAGGGUGACCGGCCACACUGGGACUGAGACACGGCCCAGACUCCUACGGGAGGCAGCAGUAGGGAAUUUUCGGCAAUGGGGGAAACCCUGACCGAGCAACGCCGCGUGAAGGAAGAAGUAAUUCGUUAUGUAAACUUCUGUCAUAGAGGAAGAACGGUGGAUAUAGGGAAUGAUAUCCAAGUGACGGUACUCUAUAAGAAAGCCACGGCUAACUACGUG
rnacentral:rRNA from 1 species